GCUCUAGUAACGGCGGCGGGAGCGGCAACAGCUCAAAUUGAAAUCUGGCUUCGGCCCGAGUUGUAAUUUGCAGAGGAUGUUUCUGGCGCGGUGCCUCCGAGUUCCCUGGAACGGGACGCCAUAGAGGGUGAGAGCCCCGUAUGGUUGGAUACUAAGCCUGUGUAAAGCUCCUUCGACGAGUCGAGUAGUUUGGGAAUGCUGCUCAAAAUGGGAGGUAAAUCUCUUCUAAAGCUAAAUAUUGGCCAGAGACCGAUAGCGCACAAGUAGAGUGAUCGAAAGAUGAAAAGCACCUUGAAAAGGGGGUUAAACAGUACGUGAAAUUGUUGAAAGGGAAGCGCUCGUGACCAGACUUGUGCUGGGCAGCUCAUCCGGGGUUCUCCCCGGUGCACUCUGCCCGGUUUAGGCCAGCAUCGGUUUUUGCUGGGGGAUAAGAACGGUAGGAACRUGGCCCUCCUUCGGGUGGGUGUUAUAGCCCGCCGUACGAUACCCUGGCGGAGAUCGAGGUUCGCGCAUCUGCAAGGAUGCUGGCGUAAUGGUCAUCAGCGACCCGUCUUGAAACACGGACCAAGGAGUCGUCCAUUAGAGCGAGCGUUUGGGUGUAAAACCCGCACGCGUAAUGAAAGUGAAAUUAGGUGAGAGCUUCGGCGCAUCAUCGACCGAUCCUGAUGUUCUCGGAAGGAUUUGAGUAAGAGUUUUAACGGACGGACCCGAAAGACAGUGAACUAUGCUUGUAUAGGGUGAAGCCAGAGGAAACUCUGGUGGAGGCUCGCAGCGGUUCUGACGUGCAAAUCGAUCGUCAAAUAUGAGCAUGGGGGGCAAAGACUAAUCGAACUGUCUAGUAGCUGGUUACCGCCGAAG
rnacentral:rRNA from 1 species